AUACGGAGGAUCCGAGCGUUAUCCGGAUUUAUUGGGUUUAAAGGGUGCGCAGGCGGCCAUUUAAGUCAGCGGUUAAAUCGUGGGGCUAAACCCCAUUCUGCCGUUGAUACUGGGUGGCUUGAUUGCGGUCGAGGUUGGCGGAAUUCGUUGUGUAGCGGUGAAAUGCAUAGAUAUGACGAAGAACACCGAUUGCGUAGGCAGCUGACCAGACCGCAAAUGACGCUCAUGCACGAAAGUGCGGGGAUCGAACAGGACUAGAUACCCUGGUAGUCCGCACAGUAAACGAUGAAUACUUGUUUUCGGCGAUAUAAUGUCGGAGGCAAAGCGAAAGCGAUAAGUAUUCCACCUGGGGAGUACGCCGGCAACGGUGAAACUCAAAUGAAUUGACGGGG
rnacentral:rRNA from 1 species